ACUUAAAGAUAGGGGCCAUUAAGGACGUGGUUAAGGUUAAAGGGGGUUGUUAGGGUGGGACUUCCUCCAGUAUGAACGGUGUCCUAACAAAAAGAGAUGAGGACACAGAUCCACACAGAGGAAUGACAGUGAGAAGGCUGCCAUCUGUGACUCAAGGAGAGUCCUCAGAAGACACCAAUCCUGCUGACACUUGAUCUCGGACUUUCAGUCUCCAGAAUUUUAAAGGCUUUGAGAGCUGUGAGGAAGACUUUGAAGAUUAUUUGACUCAAACUUUCCUCGGUGCACACCACCCCCCACCGUAACUCGACCGCAGGAGAGGAAACAAGACCGGGUGUGGUGACACCUCCACCAUGACACAGCACCUCGGCCGCAAACAGCUGCAGCAAAGGCUUGGUUCAGUAGGAAACAUCACCCGGCAGAAUUGCAAAGGCCUAAGUUUCACAGUGAGGUGGCCCCAUCACAAGGAGAUUCUCAACCUUGGCUGCACAUUCAAAUCAUUUGGGGGAGAGUUUUAAAAGUAUGCAUUCCUGCUCUGCUAUGCUGGAGACAUAGAUGGAACCAUCUGGCGAGGGGCCUGGGCAUCAGCAUUUUUAGAGCUUCUUGUAGGUGAUUCUUGUGCAUCCCCAGUGUAAGUGCCUCUCCUGAUGAACCACCUCAUCUACUCUGCUCUGCAACAGACAGCCUCAAACCCACCCCCAAACACACGCUGAGACUCUGAUGUGGUCGCAGUAGCUGUGAAAGUGCUAAGUGCCACUCACGUAGUCUCUGGACGAGGUCUUACUCUCCUGUCCAGGCCGAUCUCAAACUCCUGGCCUCAAGCAAUCCUUCUGUUUCCUUGUCCUCUGGAGUCACUGGAAUUACAGAUGUGAACCACCACAACCAGCUAAAGUCUUCCAGAUUCAUGCCUGGCAGUUCUUCAGAUUUAACACAUGGAUUCCAAGGUUUGUUUGAUUGCUGCCACUCCAGUGGAACAAGUCCAGGAUCUGCAGUUUUGUCUUAGUAGACACUUCACUUAUUCCUGGCCUAAGCCUAGUCACUCAGCCACAUCUAGCUGCAAUGAAGGCUGGGAAAUAUAGUUCCCACGAGAUAGCCAUAUGUCUAGCCAAAACUCAGGGGGCUGGAAGCCUAAAAGAAAGAGGGGAAGGCCUCGUUAGUCAAGAGACAUUAUGAAAACUGUAACAGGACCAUCAGUGGGGAUGGAGAGGAAGGCUUGGUGACCAAGAGUGGAUGGAAGGGAGAGGGAAAGCAGACCUAAGAGAUUCCUCCGGCUCCAGUGACAGGGUGAAGGUGGAGAAAUUCAAGAAAGGGAACGUGGCAGGGAGAAGCUGUGGGGAUGUCAGGACAGUGGUUUAAGGCAGGUGCUAUCAAGUGUGGCCCAUGUGACCUGCUUUUGUAAUUUUUGGAGAACACAGCAAUACCCAUUCACUUACAUAUUGCCUAUGGCUACUUUUGCGCUACAACACAGUUGAGGAGACACAGGCCACGUGGCCCAGAAAGCGAAAUAUAUUCACUGUCUGACCCUUUACAGAGAAAGGUUGCCAACCUCUGGUUCAAGGUGCAUCUGGGUGGAGACAUGUCAUGAACACAGGGGUGGCCAGAGCUCUAUGUGAUGAGAGAACCAAAGGGAGCAGGUGAAGUGAUGAGUGAAUGAAAUCACUCAAGGAGAGAGUGAGGGGUGGACCAGGAGAGAACCCGUGAAUGCCACCUAAAUUUAAGAACUGGAGAGACGAGUGUUAGAAGGAGACUGAUGAAUAGACAGCCGUGCCCCAAGAAGACACUGGAGAGGGCUCCUUUGGGAGCCUGAAGGGAGAUCUUUGUAAAGGGGAUGUGUUCACAAAAGUCAAGUCCUCGGAGACCCCGACAGGAGCCCUUCAGGAGUGGUGGGGACAGAAGCCAGGUCACAGGAGCUGAAGAACCAGUGGAAAUGAGAAAGUGGACAUAGAGAUGUGUAGAUAAUUCUUUCAAGGAAAUUAUUUCCGAAGAGAGAGGGAAAAAAGAAAACACUACCAGGCUGAGUGUGCAGUCGGGUUGAGGAAAGGCUGAUGUUUUUUUUCUUUUUUGAGACAGUCUCGCUUUCUCAGCAGGCUGGAGUGCAGUGGCACGAUCUCAGCCCACUGCAACUUCCUCCUUUCAGGUUCAAGCAAUUCUCCU